rnacentral:rRNA from 1 species
UGGGGAAUAUUGCACAAUGGGGGAAACCCUGAUGCAGCGACGCCGCGUGAACGAAGAAGGUAUUCGUAUCGUAAAGUUCUGUCCUAUGGGAAGAUAAUGACAGUGCCAUAGAAGAAAGCUCCGGCUAAAUACGUGCCAGCAGCCGCGGUAAUACGUAUGGAGCGAGCGUUGUCCGGAAUUAUUGGGCGUAAAGGGUACGCAGGCGGUUUAAUAAGUCGAAUGUUAAAGAUCGGGGCUCAACCCCGUAAAGCAUUGGAAACUGAUAAACUUGAGUAGUGGAGAGGAAAGUGGAAUUCCUAGUGUAGUGGUGAAAUACGUAGAUAUUAGGAGGAAUACCAGUAGCGAAGGCGACUUUCUGGACACAAACUGACGCUGAGGUACGAAAGCGUGGGGAGCAAACAGG